rnacentral:rRNA from 1 species
GCCUUUUGUAGAAUGAACCGGCGAGUUACGAUCCCGUGCGAGGUUAAGCUGAAGAGGCGGAGCCGCAGCGAAAGCGAGUCUGAAUAGGGCGUUUAGUACGUGGUCGUAGACCCGAAACCAGGUGAUCUACCCAUGUCCAGGGUGAAGUUCAGGUAACACUGAAUGGAGGCCCGAACCCACGCACGUUGAAAAGUGCGGGGAUGAGGUGUGGGUAGCGGAGAAAUUCCAAUCGAACCUGGAGAUAGCUGGUUCUCCCCGAAAUAGCUUUAGGGCUAGCCUUAAGUGUAAGAGUCUUGGAGGUAGAGCACUGAUUGGACUAGGGGUCCUCAUCGGAUUACCGAAUUCAGUCAAACUCCGAAUGCCAAUGACUUAUCCUUAGGAGUCAGACUGCGAGUGAUAAGAUCCGUAGUCAAAAGGGAAACAGCCCAGACCGCCAGCUAAGGUCCCAAAGUGUGUAUUAAGUGGAAAAGGAUGUGGAGUUGCUUAGACAACUAGGAUGUUGGCUUAGAAGCAGCCACCAUUUAAAGAGUGCGUAAUAGCUCACUAGUCGAGUGACUCUGCGCCGAAAAUGUACCGGGGCUAAAUACACCACCGAAGCUGCGGAUUGAUACCGAAUGGUAUCAGUGGUAGGGGAGCGUUCUAAGGACAGUGAAGUCAGACCGUAAGGACUGGUGGAGUGCUUAGAAGUGAGAAUGCCGGUAUGAGUAGCGAAAGACGGGUGAGAAUCCCGUCCACCGAAUGCCUAAGGUUUCCUGAGGAAGGCUCGUCCGCUCAGGGUUAGUCAGGACCUAAGCCGAGGCCGACAGGCGUAGGCGAUGGACAACAGGUUGAUAUUCCUGUACCACCUCUUUAUCGUUUGAGCAAUGGAGGGACGCAGAAGGAUAGAAGAAGCGUGCGAUUGGUUGUGCACGUCCAAGCAGUUAGGCUGAUAAGUAGGCAAAUCCGCUUAUCGCGUAUGCUGAGCUGUGAUGGGGAAGCUCCUUAUGGAGCGAAGUCUUUGAUUCCCCGCUGCCAAGAAAAGCUUCUAGCGAGGUAAAAGGUGCCUGUACCGCAAACCGACACAGGUAGGCGAGGAGAGAAUCCUAAGGUGUGCGAGAGAACUCUGGUUAAGGAACUCGGCAAAAUGACCCCGUAACUUCGGGAGAAGGGGUGCUUUCUUAACGGAAAGCCGCAGUGAAUAGGCCCAAGCGACUGUUUAGCAAAAACACAGCUCUCUGCGAAGCCGUAAGGCGAAGUAUAGGGGGUGACACCUGCCCGGUGCUGGAAGGUUAAGGAGAGGGGUUAGCGUAAGCGAAGCUCUGAACUGAAGCCCCAGUAAACGGCGGCCGUAACUAUAACGGUCCUAAGGUAGCGAAAUUCCUUGUCGGGUAAGUUCCGACCCGCACGAAAGGUGUAACGAUUUGGGCACUGUCUCAACCAGAGACUCGGUGAAAUUAUAGUACCUGUGAAGAUGCAGGUUACCCGCGACAGGACGGAAAGACCCCGUGGAGCUUUACUGUAGCCUGAUAUUGAAUUUUGGUACAGUUUGUACAGGAUAGGCGGGAGCCAUUGAAACCGGAGCGCUAGCUUCGGUGGAGGCGCUGGUGGGAUACCGCCCUGACUGUAUUGAAAUUCUAACCUACGGGUCUUAUCGACCCGGGAGACAGUGUCAGGUGGGCAGUUUGACUGGGGCGGUCGCCUCCUAAAGUGUAACGGAGGCGCCCAAAGGUUCCCUCAGAAUGGUUGGAAAUCAUUCGUAGAGUGCAAAGGCAUAAGGGAGCUUGACUGCGAGACCUACAAGUCGAGCAGGGACGAAAGUCGGGCUUAGUGAUCCGGUGGUUCCGCAUGGAAGGGCCAUCGCUCAACGGAUAAAAGCUACCCCGGGGAUAACAGGCUUAUCUCCCCCAAGAGUCCACAUCGACGGGGAGGUUUGGCACCUCGAUGUCGGCUCAUCGCAUCCUGGGGCUGUAGUCGGUCCCAAGGGUUGGGCUGUUCGCCCAUUAAAGCGGUACGCGAGCUGGGUUCAGAACGUCGUGAGACAGUUCGGUCCCUAUCCGUCGUGGGCGUAGGAAAUUUGAGAGGAGCUGUCCUUAGUACGAGAGGACCGGGAUGGACGCACCGCUGGUGUACCAGUUGUUCUGCCAAGGGCAUAGCUGGGUAGCUAUGUGCGGAAGGGAUAAGUGCUGAAAGCAUCUAAGCAUGAAGCCCCCCUCAAGAUGAGAUUUCCCAUAGCGUAAGCUAGUAAGAUCCCUGAAAGAUGAUCAGGUUGAUAGGUUCGAGGUGGAAGCAUGGUGACAUGUGGAGCUGACGAAUACUAAUAGAUCGAGGACUUAACCAU